CAACGCGUUGGGAGCUCUCCCAUAUGGUCGACCUGCAGGCGGCCGCGAAUUCACUAGUGAUUCUAUUACCGCGGCUGCUGGCACGUAGUUAGCCGGUGCUUAUUCUUCGGGUACCGUCAUCCCGCCAGGUUAUUCGCCCGGCGUAUUUCUUCCCCGACAAAAGCGGUUUACAACCCGAAGGCCUUCUUCCCGCACGCGGCAUGGCUGGAUCAGGCUUGCGCCCAUUGUCCAAAAUUCCCCACUGCUGCCUCCCGUAGGAGUCUGGGCCGUGUCUCAGUCCCAGUGUGGCUGGUCGUCCUCUCAGACCCGCUAUGGAUCGUCGCCUUGGUGGGCUGUUACCCCGCCAACUAGCUAAUCCAACGCAGGCUCAUCCCCAACCGCCUGAACUUUGGACGGUCGACCAUGCGGUCAUCCGUCGUUAUGGGGUAUUAGCCCACCUUUCGGUGGGUUAUUCCUCAGUUGGGGGCAGAUUGCCUACGCGUUACUCACCCGUGCGCCACUUUCCCCCAGAGCAAGCUCCGGGUUCUCGUUCGACUUGCAUGUGUUAAGCCCGCCGCCAGCGUUCGUCCUGAGCCAUGAUCAAACUCUAAUCGAAUUCCCGCGGCCGCC
rnacentral:rRNA from 1 species